rnacentral:lncRNA from 1 species
AAGGAUCAUCUGUCUUGUGUUUUUCUUGAUAUUGAUCAGUUCCUUUUUUGUUUACAUAUCUGACAUUAAUGUAUUUUCAACAGUCUUCUAAACUAUAUUGAGGUUGAUGACCUUAAAAUUCGUGCUGUCAUCUGUCUGGAUGUUGGUGGCUUUCUAACUUGGUCAUUAUUACUUGUUCUGGUGUUCUUGCACUGAAUUGAACUCCCAACUUGUUAGUUUAAACAUGUUUUGGGUUAGGAUUAGUAAAUGGAACUUUGUGCUGUAGUAUUUGGCUCUGCUUUGAGCAUAUUGGAGCAAAA